AGGAAAUAUUACUCAGCAUCCUAUAUUUUCAUUUACUACCUCAGGGGAUCCUAGUUCCUGGGGCAAAGACCCUGGUCCUAUGACCAGAGAAACAGUAAAGUCACAGCAUGGGCCCAGGCUUGCCCCUGGAUUGGACUCUGAUUCUGACAUAUACAGAUAUUUGAUGCCAAGUCACAAAGGCCUGGGACUGCAGGAGGAGGAGAACAUUUUAUCACAGAUAUACAAAAACAAGAUUGAUUUUCUGUGUAAGAAUUCUACUAAGAAUUCUAGGAAGAAGAGUUUCCCAGGAUGCUGGUAAAAGUUCCCUGGAGACUUUGGGAACAUAAAAUAUCUGGCCAUAAGAGGUAUCAAAAAAACCCCAAAGAUAACAGGUACAAAAAUCACACCCGAAAGUCAUAGGAUUAUGUUGGGAAUGGAC
rnacentral:lncRNA from 1 species